UGGCCGUGCGCAGGCGCAGCUGCUGCGGCUCCUGAAAUCCUCUGGUGUGAACUUCUCUCCCAGGGCUGUUGGUGCAGCAUCCACUCUUCUGGCAGUGGGCGCCUGGACCUUAGUUACCCGGGGAGCGUGAGUCAUGUUGCCAUAGUUGAGCUGGCACAUAAAACUGCGAGUCACACCAGAAGAGGACAUUGGAUCCCACUAUAGAGGGUUGUGAGCCACCUUGUGGUUGCUGGGAAUUGAACUCAGAAACUCUGGAAGAGCGGUUGGUGCGCUUUACUGCUGAGUCAUCUCUCCAGUCCCAGGUGUUCUGCCCAGUUUAUAGAACAAGGAAUUGAAGCUUGGAGAAGAUUGAUGGGCCACUCAAGUUCCCUGGAUGGUCCAGGAUUCAGACUGUGGAUGGCCUAAUACAUCAGUUUUGCUGGCUCCCUGUGUUUGGCUAACCUUAGAGCCUCUUACCUUGCCAUAGUCUUUUCUAUGAAGGACAGAGAUCCAAGGAGUAGACCAACUUACCUGAGUUCACACAGUGGACCUGGGUCUUUCACCUCCCAGCGCAAUGUUCCUAUGUCCUGCCACUGAAGAGACAGGUGGGAGGGAGCUCAAGGUUGGCUUGCCUAACAACCAUUGCUUGAAAGACAAAGCUCCCAAGGAGAGCACAAGAUACCUCACUCAAGACUGCUCUGCAUCACCAGCCAGUGUGAACAGAGCCUGCGGCUGUCAGCAGAGUAGUCUUUGUCUCGGAGACACGCUGUGUCUACAAUUGGACUAGGAACUUUGGAUUAGGGUGGGCAUCAUGCCCCAUAGGACAGUGGUGGUGUAUGUAGCCUCAUUUCUGAGUUUAUUUAGAGAGGAGAAAGAAUGUACCA
rnacentral:lncRNA from 1 species